CGUGACCAACCUGUCUUUAGGUGAGGGACAACCUGGGGGAAACCUGGGCUAAUACCGCAUAAAGUCUUUCCUUCACAUGGGAGAGAGACCAAAGGGGGCCUCUGCUUGCAAGCUCUCGCCUAAUGAGGGGGUCGCGUCGUAUCAGCUUGUUGGUGAGGUAACGGCUCACCAAGGCUAUGACGCGUAGCGGGUCUGAGAGGACGAUCCGCCACAUUGGGAUUGAGAUACGGCCCAG
rnacentral:rRNA from 1 species